rnacentral:rRNA from 1 species
CCUACGGGAGGCAGCAGUGAGGAAUAUUGGUCAAUGGACGAGAGUCUGAACCAGCCAAGUAGCGUGAAGGAUGACUGCCCUAUGGGUUGUAAACUUCUUUUAUAUGGGAAUAAACUGUUCCACGUGUGGGAUUUUGUAUGUACCAUAUGAAUAAGGAUCGGCUAACUCCGUGCCAGCAGCCGCGGUAAUACGGAGGAUCCGAGCGUUAUCCGGAUUUAUUGGGUUUAAAGGGAGCGUAGGUGGAUUGUUAAGUCAGUUGUGAAAGUUUGCGGCUCAACCGUAAAAUUGCAGUUGAAACUGGCAGUCUGGAGUACAGUAGAGGUGGGCGGAAUUCGUGGUGUAGCGGUGAAAUGCUUAGAUAUCACGAAGAACUCCGAUUGCGAAGGCAGCUCACUGGACUGCAACUGACACUGAGGCUCGAAAGUGUGGGUAUCAAACAGGAUUAGAUACCCGAGUAGUC